AUAAGGCUGAGCUCUGUUUUUCUUAAACAAUUUUGUUACGAAAUCUCUCAGGUCCGCUAUACAAAGGAAACACGGACGAGAUCGUCUGGCUGCUUUUUAGGUUGCGUUGUCGUAUACAAACCUACACACAGCAUAAAAGGUUAGCCUGCAAUACGUAGCAUGAUCCCGCGCGUUACAGAAAAAAACAUGUUCUACCCAAGAAGUCCAGGAGCGAGACCUGCCUUCCACGUCUGCUGCAUGGUGUUCUUGACAGCACGUUCCGCGAUCAACACUCGUAUCACCGCAGUGGCAGUGUUGCUCAUCUUCGUCUUGGCGGACACUGUAGCAUACAGCACCAUUCGCCAUGAAGUGAACCAAGGUGCACGCGCACAAUGGGGUCCACAGCAUUAUAGGAGAGGAACCUAUCGACGUCCUAGGCGUGCAAAAACCACACAUGCAUAUGACGGAGCAUUUGUGUGCAAGCGCAGAUGGUGCCAAUAAAAGACGGAAUCCAAUGCCUGGACAUAUAUUUCCAUGUGGUUCUCUGGAUACAAAUUGUUUUGUGUGCUCAGCGUGGGGCUGUCUCCCUGUUCUCAUUUGCCUAUUAUGCUCUUCGUCUGCGCAACACAGAACAGCCUGCAAGAACAAAUCCAGCGUGUUACUUUUCGAUGUAAAUAAAGUGAUUUUCUCUCUGUGAA